UUUGUGUGACUGGCUGUGUGAGCAUAUACCUAGUCGGAUGACUAGGUUGAUAUAUUUAUACAAUUGUGUGAAUGCGUGUGUUGUGCAAUAAUUAUUAUUCAUUAAUAAACUCACAUCUCUUUUGUUCAAAUCUUUCAGGAAGUAGCAUUUUCUAAAUCCCAGCUAUAACUCUGCUCUUCACCGUUAAAAAGAAAUUCGCUAAUUUUAGUAUUGAUCAAUUAAAUAGAUAAAUGUCCGAAGACUUAUAUGUAUACAUUCGUCAGUAAAC
rnacentral:lncRNA from 1 species